rnacentral:tRNA from 1 species
UGGAGAGGUGCCAGAGCGGCUGAUAGGGCUGGUCUCGAAAACCAGUGUGCCCGUAAGGGUACCAUGGGUUCGAAUCCCAUCCUCUCCGU